AUGCCGGUCACGCAAGCGCCGGGGCGGAGCACGGGGCCAGUGAGCGUGGCGCGGCGCGAGCUGAGCAGCCACGCGUGGUCGCUGUCGUCGCCCGCCAGCCCGCAGCCGCGCUACGGGAGCAUCGUCACCGUGCUGAGCAUCGACGGCGGCGGCGUCCGGGGGAUCAUCCCCGGCACCAUCCUCGCUUUCCUCGAAGAAAAGCUCCAGGAGCUUGAUGGGCCGGACGUGAGGAUCGCGGAUUACUUCGACGUGGUAGCCGGGACGAGCACUGGAGGCCUGGUGGCCGCCAUGCUCACCGCGCCCAACGCCGAGGGCCGCCCGCUCUUCGCCGCCAAGGACGUCAACAAGUUUUACCUCGAGCACUGCCCGAAUAUCUUCCCUGCCGUCUGCAAAGGACCUCUGGGCUGGCUCAAGAGCAUGAUGGGGCCCAAGUACAGCGGCCACCACCUGCACAAGGUCGUGAAGGAGCUGCUCGGAGACACGCGCGUCAAUGAGACGCUCAAGAACAUCGUCAUCCCCACUUUUGACAUCAAGCUCCUCCAGCCUACCAUCUUCUCAACCUACGACGCCAUGAGGGAUGUCUCCAAGAAUGCUCUUCUGUCGGAUGUCUGCAUUAGCACGUCGGCCGCGCCGACCUACCUCCCCGGCCACCAUUUCGAGAGCAAGGACAAAGACGGCAAGACCCGGGCUUUCAACCUGAUCGACGGAGGCGUCGUCGCUAACAAUCCGACGUUGUUGGCGAUGACCCACGUUAGCAAGCAGAUCCUGAUGGGAAACCAGGACUUCUUGCCCAUCAAGCAUGCGGGUUACGGCAAGUUCAUGAUCCUUUCAUUGGGCACAGGCACCGCCAAGAUCGAAGAGAAGUUUGAUGCGGCUGAGUGCGGCAAGUGGGGCCUUCUCGGGUGGCUCUACAAGAGGGGUGCCACGCCGAUCAUUGAUAGCUUCAGCGAAGCUAGUACCGACCUCGUCGACAUUCAAGCAUCCGUGCUCUUUCAGGUCCUGGGCUGCAACAAGAGCUAUCUCCGGAUCCAACACGACGAGCUCACUGGUGAAAUGGCCUCCGUCGACGUGUCCACAUCAAAGAACCUCAACGGGCUCAUUAGUGUCGGCAAAGCAUUGCUGAAGAGACAGGUGUGCAAAGUGAACGUCGAGACAGGCAAGAACGAGCCCGAUCUAGAGAGGGGCACGAACGAGCAGGAACUGGCCCGUUUCGCCCGCAUGCUGUCGGAAGAGCGCAAAGCUCGGAAGGAGGCCUACAAACUUGUGUAG
rnacentral:rRNA from 1 species